CCCUAGCCGUGAUAGAAGUGGAAAUCCUUUUAUGCCAGGGUUUGGCAUAAAAGAUUGAAACGGAGAGCAGGAAAUAGC
rnacentral:sRNA from 1 species